AAAAGAAGAAAGACAAGAAAGCUGUGAGUUACAUUAACCCGGGAAGAAGGCUUAAAGGACAGGCCGCAGGAGUCAAGUUUAGAAUUCCGAAUGGUCCAGAAGAGGAGGCGGAGAAUGAUUCAGAGGAAGAGAAUGUUGAUCUCUCCAACCCUGAGGACGACGAAGAUUAUGAAAAUGAACAGUACUCUCCAAGAGAUGAUAAGUACAAGUUGCUGGAAGAACGCAUGCUAGCUAUGGAAGGUCAG
rnacentral:lncRNA from 1 species